rnacentral:rRNA from 1 species
UACGGAGGGUGCAAGCGUUAUCCGGAUUCACUGGGUUUAAAGGGUGCGUAGGUGGCUUUGUAAGUCAGUGGUGAAAUCCCGGAGCUCAACUCCGGAACUGCCAUUGAUACUGCUUAGCUUGAAUCAAGUAGAGGUGGAUGGAAUAAUACAUGUAGCGGUGAAAUGCUUAGAUAUGUAUUAGAACACCGAUUGCGAAGGCAGUUCACUAUGCUUGUAUUGACACUGAGGCACGAAAGCGUGGGGAUCAAAC